UGGGGGAUAUUGCACAAUGGGGGGAACCCUGAUGCAGCGACGCCGCGUGGGUGACGAAGCGCCUCGGCGCGUAAAGCCCUGUCAGCAGGGAAGAAAAUGACGGUACCUGAAGAAGAAGCCCCGGCUAACUACGUGCC
rnacentral:rRNA from 1 species